ACAGAGUCUUGUUCCUGAUUGUUAAAUUUUAAAGCAUCCCAAAGUUUGGUUUCACACUUGAAUGAAUACCAUUUGCAAGAUUAUUGCCACAAAUCCAGACACAUCUGUAUUCAAAGGAAGAAGCAGAGAAGAUUGGGCUAUGGUGGAUGCAGAGAGAAAGACGGAAUUGGAUAUGGAAUGGCAGAAGCUAUGACAAACUGCAAGAGUGCCUGGCUGUCACUGUUUAAAAAAUUAUAAUGUUUCUCAAAGAAAUUCCAAAGAACAUAGAAAGGAGACCACAGGAAGAAUCCAGAACUGCUGCCCAUCAUAAAAUUUUUCCAUCUGCAAUUUGUGUCUACAGUGUGCCAGUUAUUGAUGAGGGGUCUCACUCUGUCACCCAGGCUGGAAUGCACUGGCACAAUCUCAGCUCACUGCAGCCUCAACUUCCCUGGGUUCAGAGACAAGGUUUCGCCAUGUUGCCCAGGCUGCUCUCGAACUCCUGGACUCAAGUGAUCCUUCUGCCUCGGCCUCCCCAAGACCUGGGAUUGCAGGCUGAAUCCUAUUCCACCGUGUGGAUGGGCCCCAGCUUCUUACCCACCACCCAUCAGCGGACACUCGGGUUGCUCCCACCGUUGGGCCAUCGUGAACAGCACUGCAAUGAACGCGGUGGCCAGAUUCCUCUUCAAGUUCCCAGUUUCAUUUCUUUGAUACCCAGAAAUGAGAUUGAUGCAUCACAUGCUGCCCUCCCUGCCACCGGAAGUGACUCCCCUCAGCAAGGCCAAGGUGGCUCACGUGUCCCAGCACCCUUUCAUCUCUGCCCUUCUCUCUCGAGUGACAGCAUGACGUGACAUGAGGGCUCUCCAGCCAUGGCCUUGCAGCCCUCUUGGGGUCUUGCUGUCACCCAGGCUGGAGUGCGGUGGUAAGAUCAGGACUCACUGCAGCCUUGAACUCCGGGACUCAAGGGAUCCUUCUGCCUCAGCCUCCUGAGUAGCUGGGGCCACAAGCGCAUGCCACUGUGGCUGGUUAAUCUUUCCAUUUUCUGUAGAGACUGGUCUCACUAUGUGCCCAGGCUGGUCUCCAACUAGUGGCCUCAAGUGAUUCCUCACCUGGACCUUCCAAAGUGCUGGGAUUACAGUUGUGGGCCACCAUGCA